UAAUCUGAUCUGGUAAAGCGAAUGAUUAGAGGCAUUAGGGCCGAAACGACCUUAACCUAUUCUCAAACUUUAAAUGGGUAAGAACCUUACCUUUCUUGAUAUGAAGGUCAAGGUUAUGAUAUAUUGUGCCCAGUGGGCCACUUUGGGUAAGCAGAACUGGCGCUGUGGGAUGAACCAAACGUGAUGUUACGGCGCCUAAAUUAACAACUCAUGCAGAUACCAUGAAAGGCGUUGGUUGCUUAAAACAGCAGGACGGUGGACAUGGAAGUCGUAAUCCGCUAAGGAGUGUGUAACAACUCACCUGCCGAAGCAACUAGCCCUUAAAAUGGAUGGCGCUUAAGUUGUAUGCCUAUACAUCACCGCUAAAGUAUAUGAUUUA
rnacentral:rRNA from 1 species